rnacentral:rRNA from 1 species
AUGAAGGCGGGGACAACACCGCCGGCCAGCAGGGCGGCCGGCCUGCGGACGCUGGUGGUGCACGUGCUGGCGGUGGCGGCCACGGCGCUGGUGCUGUUCUGGUGCAUCGGAUUCCGCGGCGGCCUUGCCUUCCGCUCCAGCGACAAGCAGCGCAUCUUCAACGUCCACCCGCCGCUCAUGCUCAUCGGCCUCGUCGUCAUCGCCGGGGAGGCCAUCCUCGCCUACCGCACCUUCCCGGCCUCCGUCAGCCGGGACGCCAGGAAGAAGGCGCACCUGGCGCUGCACGCCGCGGGGCUCGCCGUCGGCUUCGUCGGCGUCUACGCGGUCUUCAAGUUCCACGCCGAGGCCGCCAUCCCCAACCUCUACUCGCUGCACGCCUGGGUCGGCAUCGCCACCAUCACGCUCUACGCGCUCCAGUGGCUCGCCGGCUUCCUCGCCUUCUUCUUCCCUGGCGCCGCGCCGGAGACCAGGCGGUCCGCGGUGCCGUGGCACGCCGUGCUGGGGCUCCUCGUCUUCGCGCUCGCCGUGGGCAACGCGCAGCUCGGCUUCCUCGAGAAGCUCACCUUCCUGCAGUCCCCGCCCGCGCGCCUCGUCGGCAAGUACGGCGCCGAGGCGCUGCUCGUCAACUUCACCGCCGUCAUCGUGCUCCUCCUCGGCAUCGCCGUCGUGAUCGCCACCGUCAACGCCGACUCCACCAGAUACACCGCCAUGUGA